rnacentral:rRNA from 1 species
CUGGCGGCGUGCCUACACAUGCAAGUCGAGCGAGAAGAGAAGCGAGAGAACAGAGGCAGGGGCUUAAGGAUUUAGUUUAGGACCUGUUGUAUCCUGUUUCUGUUCUCUUGCUUCUUGGAAAGCGGCGAACGGGUGAGUAACACGUGGGUGAUCUACCUUAAAGUCUGGGACAACAGUUGGAAACGGCUGCUAAUACCGGAUGAUCCAGGCGUUCAACUUUUUCUUUCAAUGUAGAAGUUGGCAGGAAAAGUUGAGUGCCUGGCAAAGCGUUAUGUAGCGCUUUAAGAUGAGCCCGCGUCCCAUUAGUUAGUUGGUGGGGUAAAGGCCUACCAAGGCGACGAUGGGUAGCCGGUCUGAGAGGAUGGUCGGCCACACUGGAACUGAGACACGGUCCAGACUCCUACGGGAGGCAGCAGUGGGGAAUAUUGCACAAUGGGCGCAAGCCUGAUGCAGCAACGCCGCGUGAGCGAAGACGGCCUUCGGGUUGUAAAGCUCUGUCAGGGGGGACGAUAAUGACGGUACCCCCAAAGGAAGCCCCGGCUAACUACGUGCCAGCAGCCGCGGUAAUACGUAGGGGGCGAGCGUUGUCCGGAAUUACUGGGCGUAAAGGGCGUGUAGGCGGCCAUGCAAGUCAGCUGUGAAACCCCCGGGCUCAACCCGGGACGUGCAGUUGAAACUGUAUGGCUUGAGUGCAGGAGAGGAGAGUGGAAUUCCUAGUGUAGCGGUGACAUGCGUAGAUAUUAGGAGGAACACCAGUGGCGAAGGCGG